rnacentral:rRNA from 1 species
UACGGGGGGAGCAAGCGUUGUUCGGAUUUACUGGGCGUAAAGGGCGCGUAGGCGGUCAGCACAAGUCAGUUGUGAAAUCUCCGAGCUUAACUCGGAAAGGUCAACUGAAACUGUGCGACUAGAGUGCGGAAGGGGCAACUGGAAUUCUUGGUGUAGCGGUGAAAUGCGUAGAUAUCAAGAGGAACACCUGCGGCGAAGGCGGGUUGCUGGGCCGACACUGACGCUGAGACGCGAAAGCGUGGGGAGCGAACAGG